GGGCCUAAAGCAUCCGUAGCCGGUCAAGUAAAUCUUCUAUGAAAUCGUUCAGCUUAACUGAACGGCGUGCAGAAGACACUGCUUGACUAGGGACCGGGAGGCGUGAGAGGUAUUCGUAGGGUAGCGGUAAAAUGCGAUAAUCCUACGAGGACCACCUGUGGCGAAGGCGUCUCACGAGAACGGCUCCGACGGUGAGGGAUGAAGGCCAGGGGAGCGAAUGGGAUUAGAUACCCCAGUAGUCCUGGCAGUAAACCCUGCGAGCUGGGUGUCGCGUAUCCUCCGAGGGUACGCGGUGUCGUAGAGAAGUCGUUAAGCUCGCCGCCUGGGAAGUACGGUCGCAAGGCUGAAACUUAAAGGAAUUGGCGGGGGAGCACUACAAGGGGUGCGGCGUGCGGUUUAAUUGGAUUCAACGCCGAAAAUCUCACCAGGGGAGACGGCAGAAUGAAGGUCAGUCUAAAGGGCUUACCUGACGAGCCGAGAGGUGGUGCAUGGCCGUCGUCAGCUCGUGCCGUGAGGUGUCCUGUUAAGUCAGGCAACGAGCGAGACCUGCGCCUACACUUGCCAGCGAGCAGCUUGCUGUGAUCGGGCACUGUGUAGGGACUGCCUGGGAAACCAGGAGGAAGGUGCAGGCAACGGUAGGUCUGUAUGCCCCGAAUCCACUGGGCUACACGCGCGCAACAAUGGACGAGACAAUGGGCUGCAACACCGAAAGGUGAAGCUAAUCCUCGAAACUCGUCCCCAGUACGGAUUGAGGCUUGUAACUCAGCCUCAUGACGCCGGAAUCCCUAGUAAUCGGAGUCAUCA
rnacentral:rRNA from 1 species